rnacentral:rRNA from 1 species
AUGCUUGUUAUCCAUUGUCCUGUAAUUUCGUCAGUACCAAAUUAUUUGCAGUUUUCUGUGCAUUCUGAAAAUAGAAAAAGCGAAUAUUAUGGGGUGGUAGCCACAAUGGACGUCUGGGGACACCAUAUUGAUUGUAAUCAAAUCACAGCAGCGGCAAUUUGGAUCACAAACGGUGAUUCCGAUCAACGCAAUGGAAUCAUGUUUGGAUGGGUGGUACUGAAUGAAAUCUCUUUUUAUCCGCAAAAAAAGGAAGAGAAUGAAAUCUCUUUUGUUGGUCUCCGGACUUGCCUAAUUUUGUAUGUACUUUACAUAUUUUGCCUAUUUGGUUUUCUAAUUAUGAACUUCUGUGCAUUUGUAGGUUUCGCCAUCUCACUUCAACGACUCAAACACUUAUCUUUUCACCGCUUGGACAAUAUGUUUGUCUAA